AGAGCGAACGCUGGCGGCAGGCUUAACACAUGCAAGUCGAGCGGAUGUAGCAAUACAUCAGCGGCAGACGGGUGAGUAACACGUGGGAACGUACCUUUUGGUUCGGAACAACACAGGGAAACUUGUGCUAAUACCGGAUAAGCCCUUACGGGGAAAGAUUUAUCGCCGAAAGAUCGGCCCGCGUCUGAUUAGCUAGUUGGUGAGGUAAUGGCUCACCAAGGCGACGAUCAGUAGCUGGUCUGAGAGGAUGAUCAGCCACAUUGGGACUGAGACACGGCCCAAACCCCUACGGGAGGCAGCAGUGGGGAAUAUUGGACAAUGGGCGCAAGCCUGAUCCAGCCAUGCCGCGUGAGUGAUGAAGGCCUAGGGUUGUAAAGCUCUUUGUGCGGGAAGAUAAUGACGGUACCGCAAGAAUAAGCCCCGGCUAACUUCGCGCCAGCAGCCGC
rnacentral:rRNA from 1 species